UACGUAGGGUGCAAGCGUUUGUCCGGAAUUAUUGGGCGUAAAGCGCGUGUAGGCGGCUCGGUAAGUCUGCUGUGAAAGUCCAAGGCUCAACCUUGGAAAGCCGGUGGAUACUGUCGAGCUCGAGUCCGGAAGAGGCGAGUGGAAUUCCUGGUGUAGCGGUGAAAUGCGCAGAUAUCAGGAGGAACACCAAUGGCGAAGGCAGCUCGCUGGGACGGUACUGACGCUGAGACGCGAAAGCGUGGGGAGCAAACAGG
rnacentral:rRNA from 1 species